UGACCAGCUGCCAGGAUAAUUAUGUCUGUAACGUAUGGUUUGGUGUAUGAAGCAUCGGCGGCAACCACCGUGAGUUUGUGAUCGGCUAUCUUGAAGAACAGAUUGUUAUUCAGUGCAGCGUUGAUAAUUCUUAAGAGGGUAUCCAUCAGGCCGGAAGCCCAAUGACUAAUCCCUCGGGUACUGCAGAGGCACACAAAGUGGGCGACCCUCCCAAGCAAGCAAAUUCCAUUCCCAUCCUCCAGUGAGUAUCGAACCCGGGAGAGAUGGUUAAGGGACACAGACCCUCAUCCAUCUGUGCCAACUUGCGUUGGUACAAUAUGAGUUAUUUUGAAUUGUUUGAUAUUGAAUUGGAAUUUUAGUAUAUUGGAAUGGCUGUGAAAUGGACUUGUGACGGGUUGAAAUUAGUUGAAAUGGG